rnacentral:rRNA from 1 species
UGCCAGCCGCCGCGGUAAUACGGAGGGUGCAAGCGUUAAUCGGAAUUACUGGGCGUAAAGCGCGCGUAGGCGGCGGUUUAAGUCAAAUGUGAAAGCCCAGGGCUCAACCUUGGAACUGCAUUUGAUACUGCAUGACUAGAGUGCGAUAGAGGGGGGUAGAAUUUCGGGUGUAGCGGUGAAAUGCGUAGAGAUCUGAAGGAAUACCAGUGGCGAAGGCGGCCCCCUGGAUUGACACUGACGCUGAGGUGCGAAAGCGUGGGGAGCAAACAGGAUUAGAUA